rnacentral:rRNA from 1 species
GGCUCAGGAUGAACGCUAGCUACAGGCAUAACACAUGCAAGUCGCGGGGUAACAUCUGGGAGAGCUUGCUCUUCCAGGAUGACGACCGGCGCACGGGUGAGUAACGCGUAUCCCAACUGGCCCAUACCACGGGAUAGCCCGUCGAAAGGCGGAUUAAUACCGUAUGCUGUCAUUUAAGAUGCAUAUAUUGAUGACGAAAGGACUGGCGGUAUGGGAUGGGGGAUGCGUCUGAUUAGCUUGUUGGCGGGGUAACGGCCCACCAAGGCGACGAUCAGUAGGGGUUCUGAGAGGAAGGUCCCCCACAUUGGAACUGAGACACGGUCCAAACUCCUACGGGAGGCAGCAGUGAGGAAUAUUGGUCAAUGGGCGCAAGCCUGAACCAGCCAAGUAGCGUGAGGGAAGACUGCCCUACGGGUUGUAAACCUCUUUUGUUUGGGAAUAAAGUGCGGGACGCGUCCCGCAUUGCAUGUACCAUUUGAAUAAGGACCGGCUAAUUCCGUG